GAUGAACGCUGGCGGCGUGCCUAAUACAUGCAAGUCGAGCGAACAGAUGAUGAGCUUGCUCCUCUUACGUUAGCGGCUGACGGGUGAGUAACACGUGGAUAACCUACCUAUAAGACUGGGAUAACUUCGGGAAACCGGAGCUAAUACCGGAUAAUAUAUUGAACCGCAUGGUUCAAUAGUUAAAUACGGUUUUUCUGUCACUUAUAGAUGGUUCCGCGCCGCAUUAGCUAGUUGGUAAGGUAACGGCUUACCAAGGCAACGAUGCUUAGCCGACCUGAGAGGGUGAGCGGACACACUGGAACUGAGACACGGACCAGACUCCUACGGGAGGCAGCAGUAGGGAAUAUUCCGCAAUGGGCGAAAGCCUGACGGAGCAACGCCGCGUGAGUGAAGAAGGUCUUCGGAUCGUAAAACUCUGUUAGUAGGGAAGAACAAAUGUGUAAGUAAAUAUGCACGUAUUGACGGUAACUAAUCAGAAAGCCACGGCUAACUACGUG
rnacentral:rRNA from 1 species